rnacentral:rRNA from 1 species
GUUUAAAAAGAUGGGUUCUGCUAUCACUCUUGGGAUGGGACCCUGCGGUGCAUUUAGCUAGUUGGUAAGGGUAACGGGCUUACCAAGGCAAUGAUGCAUAGCCCGAGUUGAGAGACUGAUCGGGCCACAUUGGGGACUGAGACACGGGCCCAAAACUCCUACGGGGAGGCAGCAGUAGGGAAUCUUCCACAAUGGACGCAAGUCUGAUGGAGCAACGCCGCGUGAGUGAAGAAGGGUUUCGGCUCGUAAAGCUCUGUUGGUAGUGAAGAAGAUAGAGGUAGUACUGUCUUUAUUGACGUAAUUACUUAGAAGUCACGGCUAACUACGUGCCAGCAGCCGCGGUAAU